CCCUUAGAUGUUCUGGGCCGCACGCGUGCUACACUGAGUAAAUCAAUGGGUAAGGGAACACGAAAGUGCAACCUAAUCUUGAAAUUUGCUCGUGAUGGGGAUCGACGGUUGCAAUUUUCCGUCGUGAACGAGGAAUACCUUGUAGGCGCGUGUCAUCAUCACGCGCCGAAUACGCCCCUGCCCUUUGUACACACCGCCCGUCGCUCCUACCGAUUGAGUGAUCCGGUGAGGCUCUGGGACCUGGACGGAAAGAGCGUUUCGCUUGUUCUGUUUGGGAAACUUGGUCGAACCUUAUCAUUUAGAGGAAGGAGAAGUCGUAACA
rnacentral:rRNA from 1 species